GGGAAGAAGGCGAGAACACGGCCCUGGAGUGCCCCUACUUUUCCCACUUCGUGGGGACUGCUGUUCAGUGAGGAAGAAGAGCACAGCCUUGGUGGCGCUUGUCUUAUUCCGUGCUUCCACUGUUGAAGCUCUGCCCACUCUCCUGGGCAGAGAUAAUCCUUCUCCCCUAGGCAGCUGGGAGGAAGCAAGAGUUUGGGGUGCCCCACUGGGCAUUAAACACCCCGAUGCACAAAUGCCACAAUCCCAGGCAAGCCACUGAAUCUCUCUGGUGUCGGCAUUCCCGUCUGUAAAAUGGGGAUAUUAACAACCCCUUAUGAGUAGUAAGCUGGGUUCAAUGAGAGGAAGGAGCCCAGAAAACCAGCUCAUUCGGUCCUUCCUGUUACUCCUGGCUCUCUCCAUCAUUUCACGUCCUCUUCACCGCCACGUAUCGUCCUAUUUUCUAUAAGCGCUUCCCCGGCUCCUCGCUGGUGCAAGAUGGGUGAUCAGGGAACGCAUGAAUGCAGCUAGAGUGGACUCCGGAGCCGACGCCCGGUGCGAGCUCGCAGAAUAGCCGCCUGAAAGGCAGGGAUGCCGCGCACCUGACCCAGUGCGGAGCCGCGACCCUGUGGCUCUGCGUGGAGCUUGAAAAGGGGGCGCGGUCCCUGACACCGCCCCCCACCUUCCGCCCGCGAACAUACAGCCCUAAGCGAGCGCCUUCUACCUGCAGACGCGGGCCAGACAGAGCCGGCCGCGAUUGUGCCUUCCCGGAUCAGCUGCCAUAGGUUGGCAGCCGACGCACUGAGCCAGUGCCGGAGCCUUGACAGCAGGGGCCGGGGCCGGAGCCGGAGCCGGGAUUUCUGAAGGAAAGAGGAAGCCAAGAUCGUGAAGGGCCCUCUUGGAUCUGCAGCCCAGACGGUUCUGGCAGAAGCAACCCGGGCGCCCAGGACGCGGCGGAGCGGGGUCUGCCCCGGGGCAGGAAUGCCCUGCCGGGAGGAGAACACAAGCCUCAGGACCGUUUCCGGGCCCGCGGGUGAAAUCCUCAGGGCUGAGGGACUCUCAUCAUCCAUGGCUAGAUCAGAGAAGUCAAAAGGAAAGGUCUUCAUCAUCUCUAAUCUCCAUCUCUCACCUCCCUCCAAAGCAGUUUACAAUAAAGAGAACUCACUCCCACAUCCUGAUCCCCACGCUUCUUUGAU